ACACGACUACAUUAGAUACCCGUGUAGUCCUAGCCGUAAACGAUACUCGCUAGGUGUCGGCCACGGUGCGACCGUUGUCGGUGCCGUAGGGAAGCCGUGAAGCGAACCACCUGGGAAGUACGGCCGCAAGGCUGAAACUUAAAGGAAUUGGCGGGGGAGCACCACAACGGGUGGAGCUUGCGGUUUAAUUGGACUCAACGCCGGGAAGCUCACCGGAUAAGACAGCGGAAUGAUUGCCGGGCUGAAGACCCUGCAUGACCAGCUG
rnacentral:rRNA from 1 species